AUUGAACGCUGGCGGCAUGCCUUACACAUGCAAGUCGAACGGCAGCGCGGGAGCAAUCCUGGCGGCGAGUGGCGAACGGGUGAGUAAUAUAUCGGAACGUGCCCAGUAGUGGGGGAUAGCCCGGCGAAAGCCGGAUUAAUACCGCAUACGACCUGAGGGUGAAAGCGGGGGAGUCGCAAGACCUCGCGCUAUUGGAGCGGCCGAUAUCAGAUUAGCUAGUUGGUGGGGUAAAGGCCUACCAAGGCAACGAUCUGUAGUUGGUCUGAGAGGACGACCAGCCACACUGGGACUGAGACACGGCCCAGACUCCUACGGGAGGCAGCAGUGGGGAAUUUUGGACAAUGGGCGCAAGCCUGAUCCAGCAAUGCCGCGUGCAGGAAGAAGGCCUCGGUUGUAAACUGCUUUGUCUAGGGAAGAAAGUACUUCUUGGGCGUAAUACCCCGGGACGGAGUGACGGGUACCUCGAAGAAUAAGACACCGG
rnacentral:rRNA from 1 species